UUAAGCGACUAAGCGUACACGGUGGAUGCCCUGGCAGUCAGAGGCGAUGAAGGACGUGCUAAUCUGCGAAAAGCGUCGGUAAGGUGAUAUGAACCGUUAUAACCGGCGAUGUCCGAAUGGGGAAACCCAGUGUGAUUCGUCACACUAUCGUUAACUGAAUACAUAGGUUAACGAGGCGAACCGGGGGAACUGAAACAUCUAAGUACCCCGAGGAAAAGAAAUCAACCGAGAUUCCCCCAGUAGCGGCGAGCGAACGGGGAGCAGCCCAGAGUCUGAAUCAGCUUGUGUGUUAGUGGAACGGUCUGGAAAGUCCGACGGUACAGGGUGAUAGUCCCGUACACCAAAAUGCACAGGCUGUGAACUCGAAGAGUAGGGCGGGACACGUGGUAUCCUGUCUGAAUAUGGGGACCAUCCUCCAAGGCUAAAUACUCCUGACUGACCGAUAGUGAACCAGUACCGUGAGGGAAAGGCGAAAAGAACCCCGGCGAGGGGAGUGAAAAAGAACCUGAAACCGUGUACGUACAAGCAGUGGGAGCACCUUCGGGUGUGACUGCGUACCUUUUGUAUAAUGGGUCAGCGACUUAUAUUCUGUAGCAAGGUUAACCGUAUAGGGGAGCCGCAGGGAAACCGAGUCUUAACUGGGCGUUAAGUUGCAGGGUAUAGACCCGAAACCCGGUGAUCUAGCCAUGGGCAGGUUGAAGGUUGGGUAACACUAACUGGAGGACCGAACCGACUAAUGUUGAAAAAUUAGCGGAUGACUUGUGGCUGGGGUGAAAGGCCAAUCAAACCGGGAGAUAGCUGGUUCUCCCGAAAGCUAUUUAGGUAGCGCCUCGUGAACUCAUCUUCGGGGGUAGAGCACUGUUUCGGCUAGGGGGUCAUCCCGACUUACCAACCCGAUGCAAACUACGAAUACCGAAGAAUGUUAUCACGGGAGACACACGGCGGGUGCUAACGUCCGUCGUGAAGAGGGAAACAACCCAGACCGCCAGCUAAGGUCCCAAAGUCAUGGUUAAGUGGGAAACGAUGUGGGAAGGCACAGACAGCCAGGAUGUUGGCUUAGAAGCAGCCAUCAUUUAAAGAAAGCGUAAUAGCUCACUGGUCGAGUCGGCCUGCGCGGAAGAUGUAACGGGGCUAAACCAUGCACCGAAGCUGCGGCAGCGACACUAUGUGUUGUUGGGUAGGGGAGCGUUCUGUAAGCCUGCGAAGGUGACCUGUGAGGGUUGCUGGAGGUAUCAGAAGUGCGAAUGCUGACAUAAGUAACGAUAAAGCGGGUGAAAAGCCCGCUCGCCGGAAGACCAAGGGUUCCUGUCCAACGUUAAUCGGGGCAGGGUGAGUCGACCCCUAAGGCGAGGCCGAAAGGCGUAGUCGAUGGGAAACAGGUUAAUAUUCCUGUACUUGGUGUUACUGCGAAGGGGGGACGGAGAAGGCUAUGUUAGCCGGGCGACGGUUGUCCCGGUUUAAGCAUGUAGGCUGGUUAUCCAGGCAAAUCCGGAUAAUCAAGGCUGAGGUGUGAUGACGAGGCACUACGGUGCUGAAGUAACAAAUGCCCUGCUUCCAGGAAAAGCCUCUAAGCAUCAGGUAACAUCAAAUCGUACCCCAAACCGACACAGGUGGUCAGGUAGAGAAUACCAAGGCGCUUGAGAGAACUCGGGUGAAGGAACUAGGCAAAAUGGUGCCGUAACUUCGGGAGAAGGCACGCUGGUGUGUAGGUGAAGCCCCUGCGGGUGGAGCUGAGACCAGUCGAAGAUACCAGCUGGCUGCAACUGUUUAUUAAAAACACAGCACUGUGCAAACACGAAAGUGGACGUAUACGGUGUGACGCCUGCCCGGUGCCGGAAGGUUAAUUGAUGGGGUUAUCCGUAAGGAGAAGCUCUUGAUCGAAGCCCCGGUAAACGGCGGCCGUAACUAUAACGGUCCUAAGGUAGCGAAAUUCCUUGUCGGGUAAGUUCCGACCUGCACGAAUGGCGUAAUGAUGGCCAGGCUGUCUCCACCCGAGACUCAGUGAAAUUGAACUCGCUGUGAAGAUGCAGUGUACCCGCGGCAAGACGGAAAGACCCCGUGAACCUUUACUAUAGCUUGACACUGAACAUUGAGCCUUGAUGUGUAGGAUAGGUGGGAGGCUUUGAAGCGUGGACGCCAGUCUGCGUGGAGCCAACCUUGAAAUACCACCCUUUAAUGUUUGAUGUUCUAACGUUGGCCCCUUACCGGGGUUGCGGACAGUGUCUGGUGGGUAGUUUGACUGGGGCGGUCUCCUCCCAAAGCGUAACGGAGGAGCACGAAGGUUAGCUAAUCCUGGUCGGACAUCAGGAGGUUAGUGCAAUGGCAUAAGCUAGCUUGACUGCGAGCGUGACGGCGCGAGCAGGUGCGAAAGCAGGUCAUAGUGAUCCGGUGGUUCUGAAUGGAAGGGCCAUCGCUCAACGGAUAAAAGGUACUCCGGGGAUAACAGGCUGAUACCGCCCAAGAGUUCAUAUCGACGGCGGUGUUUGGCACCUCGAUGUCGGCUCAUCACAUCCUGGGGCUGAAGUAGGUCCCAAGGGUAUGGCUGUUCGCCAUUUAAAGUGGUACGCGAGCUGGGUUUAGAACGUCGUGAGACAGUUCGGUCCCUAUCUGCCGUGGGCGCUGGAGAAUUGAGGGGGGCUGCUCCUAGUACGAGAGGACCGGAGUGGACGCAUCACUGGUGUUCGGGUUGUCAUGCCAAUGGCACUGCCCGGUAGCUAAAUGCGGAAGAGAUAAGUGCUGAAAGCAUCUAAGCACGAAACUUGCCCCGAGAUGAGUUCUCCCUGAGACUUUAAGUCUCCUGAAGGAACGUUGAAGACGACGACGUUGAUAGGCCGGGUGUGUAAGCGCAGCGAUGCGUUGAGCUAACCGGUACUAAUGAACCGUGAGGCUUAACCU
rnacentral:rRNA from 1 species